UCCCCAGUGGCACAAUGGGUCAGUGUGUCUGGCUAUAAACCAGAAGGUUGUUGGUUUGAGCCCACCCUGGGCAG